AACCGCCUGCCUUUUAUCACGUUUAUUGGAUCUUUGGUGAUUUUAGCUGUAUGCUGAUACGUUUCUGAUUGCAUAUAGCUUUAUCACCAAAAACCUAAUGAAUGGUGACUUUUGAGUUUCGCCUUA
rnacentral:precursor_RNA from 11 species